rnacentral:rRNA from 1 species
GAUGAACGCUGGCGGCGUGCCUAAUACAUGCAAGUCGAGCGAACAGACGAGGAGCUUGCUCCUCUGACGUUAGCGGCGGACGGGUGAGUAACAUGUGGAUAACCUACCUAUAAGACUGGGAUAACUUCGGGAAACCGGAGCUAAUACCGGAUAAUAUAUUGAACCGCAUGGUUCAAUAGUGAAAGACGGUUUUGCUGUCACUUAUAGAUGGAUCCGCGCCGCAUUAGCUAGUUGGUAAGGUAACGGCUUACCAAGGCAACGAUGCGUAGCCGACCUGAGAGGGUGAUCGGCCACACUGGAACUGAGACACGGUCCAGACUCCUACGGGAGGCAGCAGUAGGGAAUCUUCCGCAAUGGGCGAAAGCCUGACGGAGCAACGCCGCGUGAGUGAUGAAGGUCUUCGGAUCGUAAAACUCUGUUAUUAGGGAAGAACAAAUGUGUAAGUAACUAUGCACGUCUUGACGGAACCUAAUCAGAAAGCCACGGCUAACUACGUG